ACGCGUGAGAAUCUGCCUUCAGGUCGGGACAACCACUGGAAACGGUGGCUAAUACCCGAUGUGCGCAACGUGAAAGAUUUAUCGCCUGAAGAGGAGCUCGCGUCUGAUUAGCUAGUUGGUGGGGUAAAAGCUCACCAAGGCGACGAUCAGUAGCUGGUCUGAGAGGAUGAUCAGCCACACUGGGACUGAGACACGGCCCAGACUCCUACGGGAGGCAGCAGUGGGGAAUUUUCCGCAAUGGGCGAAAGCCUGACGGAGCAAGACCGCGUGAGGGAGGAAGGCUCUUGGGUUGUAAACCUCUUUUCUCAGGGAAGAACAAAAUGACGGUACCUGAGGAAUCAGCCUCGGCUAACUCCGUGCCAGCAGCCGCGGUAAUACGGAGGAGGCAAGCGUUAUCCGGAAUUAUUGGGCGUAAAGCGUCCGCAGGUGGCACUUCAAGUCUGUCGUCAAAGACUGGGGCUUAACCCUGGAAAGGCGGUGGAAACUGAAGCGCUAGAGUGUGGUAGGGGUAGAGGGAAUUCCCGGUGUAGCGGUGAAAUGCGUAGAGAUCGGGAAGAACAUCGGUGGCGAAAGCGCUCUACUGGACCACAACUGACACUCAGGGACGAAA
rnacentral:rRNA from 1 species